rnacentral:lncRNA from 1 species
GAAAGUGUUGUACAAACAAAUUGAACAUCAAUAACUUCAUCGAUAAUCUGUAACAUCAAGUUCUUGGACAGGAACAUGACCGCUGCUGCGCCCCCCUUUCAGCUGCCAGGCUUAUUCCUCUUGAUUAAGCACAAUGUGCACAUUGCUGCUCUGGUCUGGGACCAGGACCCCAACUCCAUGCCUUCCUCUCCUAGGCCCUGCAGCUUUCUCUCCCCUGAAG